rnacentral:rRNA from 1 species
AACGAACGCUGUCGGCAUUCCUAACACAUGCAAGUCGAACGAGACCUUCGGGUCUAGUGGCGCACGGGUGCGUAACGCGUUGGAACCUGCCCUUAGGUUCGGAAUAACUCCCCGAAAGGGGUGCUAAUACCGGAUAAUGUCUUCGGCCCAAAGAUUUAUCGCCUUUGGAUGGGCCCGCGUUGGAUUAGCUAGUUGGUAGGGUAAAAGCCUACCAAGGCGACGAUCCAUAGCUGGUCUGAGAGGAUGAUCAGCCACACUGGGACUGAGACACGGCCCAGACUCCUACGGGAGGCAGCAGUGGGGAAUAUUGGACAGUGGGCGAAAGCGUGAUCCAGCAAUGCCGCGUGAGUGAUGAAGGCCUUAGGGUUGUAAAGCUGUUUUACCCGGGAUGAUAAUGACAGUACCGGGAGAAUAAGCUCCGGCUAACUCCGUG